rnacentral:pre_miRNA from 1 species
CUACGAGGUUUUCCUCAGCAGUUAACUGCAGCCGGAUUUCAAAUUCAUCGGCAGUUAACUGCCGAGGAGUAU